rnacentral:rRNA from 1 species
AUGUAUAUUUUGAUAUUCAUCGCUGAAACAAUUGUCAUCCGUGGUGGGAGUGGGAGCGGGACUGCUUUCCCAGCACUCAAGUAUUUCGACCUCAUUUGUUCGCCACCAUGGGUGUCUUUUGAGCAAGGGGCAAUGCCCAAGCUCCAGAGACUCGAAAUAGAAUUUGAUGCGGACAGAUGGGAGGAACAUGGAAGAGCGCCUGCAGGCAUCCACAACCUGGGUGUGCUGCAGGUACUGUCGGUACAGCUGAUGUUCAGUGGUGCGGAGUCUGACAAGGAAGCUGCUAAAUCUGCGCUGCGUGCUGCAAUCCACGGACAUCCACGUGACCCUCGUGUUGACAUCAGCCAAAGAAAUUUUUCAGUACCUUUCUCUAUUCAUACGGAGGAGCAAUAUAAUAUGGAAUUCAUUUGA